AUUGAACGCUGGCGGCAUGCCUUACACAUGCAAGUCGAACGGCAGCACGGGUGCUUGCACCUGGUGGCGAGUGGCGAACGGGUGAGUAAUACAUCGGAACAUGUCCUGUAGUGGGGGAUAGCCCGGCGAAAGCCGGAUUAAUACCGCAUACGAUCUACGGAUGAAAGCGGGGGACCUUCGGACCUCGCGCUAUAGGGUUGGCCGAUGGCUGAUUAGCUAGUUGGUGGGGUAAAGGCCUACCAAGGCGACGAUCAGUAGCUGGUCUGAGAGGACGACCAGCCACACUGGGACUGAGACACGGCCCAGACUCCUACGGGAGGCAGCAGUGGGGAAUUUUGGACAAUGGGCGAAAGCCUGAUCCAGCAAUGCCGCGUGUGUGAAGAAGGCCUUCGGGUUGUAAAGCACUUUUGUCCGGAAAGAAAUCCUUGGCUCUAAUACAGUCGGGGGAUGACGGUACCGGAAGAAUAAGCACCGGCUAACUACGUG
rnacentral:rRNA from 1 species